rnacentral:rRNA from 1 species
UAAGGAAUAUUGGACGAUGGAGGCAACUCUGAUCCAGCCAUGCCGCGUGAAGGAAUAAGGCCCUAUGGGUUGUAAACUUCUUUUAGACGGGACAAAACCCCUUUACGUGUAAAGGGUUGAUGGUACUGUAAGAAUAAGCAUCGGCUAACUUCGUGCAAGCAGCCGCGGUAAUACGAAGGAUGCAAGCGUUAUCCGGAAUUAUUGGGUUAAAAGGGUGCGUAGGCGGACUAAUAAGUCAGUGGUGAAAGCCUGCAGCUUAACUGCAGAAUUGCCAUUGAUACUGUUAGUCUUGAGUACAGUUGAGGUAGGCGGAAUGUGUCAUGUAGCGGUGAAAUGCUUAGAUAUUACACAGAACACCGAUUGCGAAGGCAGCUUGCUAAGCUGUAACUGACGCUGAGGCACGAAAGCGUGGGGAGCAAACA